rnacentral:RNase_P_RNA from 1 species
AGAUGGCCGGAUGGCCGCGGGGGUCUUCGGACCCACGAGGAAAGUCCGGACUCCAUGAAGGCACGGUGCCGGGUAACGCCCGGCGGGGGCGACCCCAGGGAAAGCGCCACAGAGAAGAGACCGCCCAUGCGCGCAUGGGCAAGGGUGAAACGGUAGGGUAAGAGCCUACCGCGGGACGGGCAACCGGACCGGCACGGCAAGCCCCACCGGGAGCAAUGCCGAAUAGGGACCGCGCGCCGCAAGGCAGGGCUGCCUUCGCCCCAGCAGGUCCGGGUUGGCAGCCAGACCCCGUUGGCAACAGCGGGGCUAGAGGAAUGGUCAUCGAAGGGGGCGACCCCGGAACAAAAUCCGGCUUACAGGCCAUCUG